UUCGGUGACGACCCGUGAACAAAACACAUUUACUUACAUUUGUGGAAGUAUCACAGCUAACACAUUUUCCUUCUCCUUUUUUUUUUUUUAAUGACGGAACCGAUACCACCCCACGCUUGUUUGUUUCUUCUGUGUGUUGAUUGCUAGCUGGUGGGUCUGGUGGCUGUUCCUUUCGUUGCCGAAAAACUGUUUUAAUUCUCCCCCACACCAUUCGUUGAUAACACACGCACUAUGAAUAAAAGACACAACAAUUCUUCAGUAUUUAUUUUGUUCAGUACUGCCAUCAGCUCCGGCAUAUCACAACACACGCAGGCUAGACACAUUUGAGCCGCUCAAAUUACACUCACGGAAGGACACGCUGUGCUAAAUAGAUUGCUCGCACCUGAGUUAUUCUCAACACAACGGACCUGAGGUCAAAGCAUACAUAGAAUUUAAGGGGAGGUUGAAUUUAUUAUCUUUUUUUUUUUUACACCACCACCUGUGAUGUUUUUUUUUUCUGGAUGAGCAUACAGUCAGACGACAUUUUAUUAGUUGGAAAUCACAUGACGAGGAGCAAGUGUGACACAAUGACAACAAGGUCAAUCGGCGCUGAUAAAGAAAUCACAUGACGACUAGUGAUUGUGUGCGUGUGUGGGUGUGUAGGGUGUGUUAUGCAGUACACCGAACAUGUAUUCAGGUCACAUUCAGGUGACUUUUGCUCCUAGUUUGUGUUGGCCGAGAGAUUCCUGAGAUUCAAACCAGUCAGACCACAACUCAAAAGUAUUUGUGAGGCUAACGCACACCGGUAAUAACUAGUUCCAUGUUGAAAAACAAUACUAAGUAAACAUGGAUGAUCCCAUAAACACAACGGCAGGAUAUUUUGCCUUGCCUGACAACCUCAGAUGUGGUGGCCCGGUGGGUGAGUGGUUAGCACGUUGACCUCACAGUGCAGAGGUCGUGGGUUUGACCUUCCUGUGUGGAUUUUGCAUGUUCUCCCCAUGCCUGUGUGGGUUUUCUCCGGGUAAUCCACUUAC